GCUGGGAGUAUAAAGGCAGAAAAUAGGCAGCAGAAGGGAGCUGCUAGGAAAAUUGGUAGUUACUUCCUCGGAGAAGGGAGAUGUAUUUGGCCUGGCAAACUGGGGGGGCACUGCCAGGAAGGUAGGACAGGGCUUGGAGAAAGACAGUAAGGUCUAGAAGGAACAGACCUUGACUGCUGACUAGAGGGUCUCUGAGCCAGAACCCAAAGUAGAGACUGAGCCCAGGUUUCCCUGCAAGCCACUGGGGAAGUGGCACUACAAGGCAGGGAAUGGGAAGACUGCCCAGGAGUGCUGAGUUCAGCAGUGUUUUCGCCACAGUAUGAACACAGCAUCAUCCUAGCUCUUCUCCCAAGCUGAUGUCCUGGCAUAUGCAAAGGAUGUCUUCACUGUGUCCCUUACAACUAGGGGAGGGAGGACAAUUAAAUUGAAGUUUACAAGGAGAAUUUCAUGCAGACCUCAAAAGCUUUGGUACCUACAAGUUCAGCUGCUUGUCCAGCCUCUUGAGUCUGCAGAACGGACCAGGAAAUUGGCAUGCAUUCUGUCAUAAGACAUCAGGUCUUCCUGCUUAUGGCUGGGCUGAUUGUAUGGUGGGAACAGCCUUUCCCUUAAUAUCCCAGUGCUUCUGAUCCACACUUCAAUCAGGAAGUGCAAAUACAUGCCAACCUCGCCUCCCCUGUCGUCGUCCCCCCCCACAAAAAAACCCUACACAUACACCACGAGUAAAACACACCCCUCCUCCAAAAAAGAACCAGUUUGUUUUAAAAACUCUAAAGUCCGAGGUUUUGGAGAGAGAAAUUCUCAUUGUAGCUAAACCAGCUCACCUAACCUUCAUUGUUACAGACAGGUUGUAAAGAGUAAUUGCAUGAGAUUAGAAGAUAGUCCUUGGGUUCUUCCCCAUUUUUGCUACUGACUUGUGGAGCUUUGGGCAAAUCCACUGAGCUGUUCAAAAUUCUCCAUUAAUGUCGAGUGCCUCCAUUUUUCAGCGUUCAACUUGAGAAACAUGGGCUCUUUUCUCUAGCGGUGCUGGGAACUCCCCAUUAGUUGAUGGGAAUCACGGGUGUUUGUCUCUGAAAUUCUGUUCUUUAGUUGCUCUGUGCCUCCAUUUCCCCUUCAAUGAAAAGCAGGGAAGUUGAGUCCCGCAGUGUUCAUGCAAUAUGAACGAAGGUGAAAUUGCUAUAUAAGGGCCUAAUGUUGUCUUUAGUUUGUACCAGCGUGUGUGCUGUGAAAUCGAGAGCUGGAUUUCAAGUACUUCAGAGCUUGAGGGGGUUUAGAUUUGGGAUUUUUGUUUGACCUAUGAGAGAGAGAGGCACUAGCAGGAAGAUCUGCAGGUUUGAAUUCUGAACCCUCACCUCCUGGAAUAUCAGAGGGUGUUUGGAUCCAGGACUUUUGUUCAACCCAAUA